UACAGAGGUCUCAAGCGUUGUUCGGAUUCAUUGGGCGUAAAGGGUGCGUAGGCGGCGCGGUAAGUCGGGUGUGAAAUCUCGGAGCUUAACUCCGAAACUGCAUUCGAUACUGCCGUGCUUGAGGACUGGAGAGGAGACUGGAAUUUACGGUGUAGCGGUGAAAUGCGUAGAUAUCGUAAGGAAGACCAGUGGCGAAGGCGGGUCUCUGGACAGUUCCUGACGCUGAGGAACGAAAGCCAGGGUAGCGAACGGG
rnacentral:rRNA from 1 species